rnacentral:rRNA from 1 species
GAUGAACGCUGGCGGCGUGCCUAAUACAUGCAAGUCGAGCGAACAGACGAGGAGCUUGCUUCUCUGACGUUAGCGGCGGACGGGUGAGUAACACGUGGAUAACCUACCUAUAAGACUGGGAUAACUUCGGGAAACCGGAGCUAAUACCGGAUGAUAUUUUGAACCGCAUGGUUCAAAAGUGAAAGACGGUCUUGCUGUCACUUAUAGAUGGAUCCGCGCCGCAUUAGCUAGUUGGUAAGGUAACGGCUUACCAAGGCAACGAUGCAUAGCCGACCUGAGAGGGUGAUCGGCCACACUGGAACUGAGACACGGUCCAGACUCCUACGGGAGGCAGCAGUAGGGAAUCUUCCGCAAUGGGCGAAAGCCUGACGGAGCAACGCCGCGUGAGUGAUGAAGGUCUUCGGAUCGUAAAACUCUGUUAUUAGGGAAGAACAUAUGUGUAAGUAACUGUGCACAUCUUGACGGUACCUAAUCAGAAAGCCACGGCUAACUACGUG